rnacentral:rRNA from 1 species
AUUGAACGCUGGCGGCAUGCCUUACACAUGCAAGUCGAACGGUAACAGGUUAAGCUGACGAGUGGCGAACGGGUGAGUAAUGUAUCGGAACGUGCCCAGUCGUGGGGGAUAACUGCUCGAAAGAGCAGCUAAUACCGCAUACGACCUGAGGGUGAAAGCGGGGGAUCGCAAGACCUCGCGCGAUUGGAGCGGCCGAUAUCAGAUUAGGUAGUUGGUGGGGUAAAAGCCUACCAAGCCAACGAUCUGUAGCUGGUCUGAGAGGACGACCAGCCACACUGGGACUGAGACACGGCCCAGACUCCUACGGGAGGCAGCAGUGGGGAAUUUUGGACAAUGGGCGCAAGCCUGAUCCAGCCAUGCCGCGUGCGGGAAGAAGGGCCCUUCGGGUUGGUAAACCGCUUUGUCAGGAGAAAGGUACUGGAGUAAUACCUGGGACGUCAUGACGGUACCUGAAGAAUAAGACACCGGCUAACUACGUGCCAGCAGCCGCGGUAA